GUGCCAGCCGCCGCGGUAAGACGAACCAUGCAAACGUUAUUCGGAAUCACUGGGCUUAAAGCGUGCGUAGGCGGUUCAGAAAGUUGGGUGUGAAAUGCCUCGGCUCAACCGAGGAAUUGCGCCCAAAACUACUGGGCUUGAGGGAGUUAGAGGUGAGCGGAACUCACGGUGGAGCGGUGAAAUGCGUUGAUAUCGUGAGGAACACCGGAGGCGAAAGCGGCUCACUGGGGCUUCACUGACGCUGAGGCACGAAAGCUAGGGGAGCAAACGGGAUUAGAAACCCCCGUAGUCC
rnacentral:rRNA from 1 species